rnacentral:rRNA from 1 species
CAGCAGCCGCGGUAAUACGGAGGGUGCAAGCGUUAAUCGGAAUUACUGGGCGUAAAGCGCACGCAGGCGGUUUGUUAAGUCAGAUGUGAAAUCCCCGGGCUUAACCUGGGAACUGCAUUUGUGACUGGCGAGCUAGAGUAUGGCAGAGGGGGGUAGAAUUCCACGUGUAGCAGUGAAAUGCGUAGAGAUGUGGAGGAAUACCGAUGGCGAAGGCAGCCCCCUGGGCCAAUACUGACGCUCAUGCACGAAAGCGUGGGGAGCAAACAGGAUUAGAUACCCGCGUAGUCCCUGUCUCUUAUAC